rnacentral:rRNA from 1 species
CAGCAGCCGCGGUAAUACGGAGGGCGCGAGCGUUGUCCGGAUUCACUGGGCGUAAAGCGGGUGUAGGCGGUUGGGCAAGUCGGACGUGAAAGCCCGGGGCUCAACCUAGGAAUUGCGCUUGUGACUGGCGGGCUCGAGUACGGUAGAGGGGGGUGGAAUUCCUGGUGUAGCAGUGAAAUGCGUAGGGAUCAGGAGGAACACCGAUGGCGAAGGCAGCCCCCUGGGCCUGUACUGACGCUCAUGCACGAAAGCGUGGGGAGCAAACAGGAUUAGAUACCCUGGUAGUCAACGCCCUAAACGAUGGGUACUAGCCGUUUGGUGCGCGAUAGCGCUGAGUGGCGAAGCUAACGCGUGAAGUACCCCGCCUGGGGAGUACGGCCGCAAGGUUGAAACUUAAAGGAAUUGGCGGG